rnacentral:snoRNA from 1 species
AUCUGAAAUUGCUGGAUAGUAUUUGAGAUUGUAGUUAGCCUCAAGACCCUGUUUCAGGGAGAACCCCUUGAGGCUACUACAAUAUCAUGAAAUUAUUAAAUUUCUCUGAGAU